rnacentral:rRNA from 1 species
UGGGGAAUUUUGGACAAUGGGCGCAAGCCUGAUCCAGCCAUGCCGCGUGCGGGAAGAAGGCCUUCGGGUUGUAAACCGCUUUGUCAGGGAAGAAAUCUUCUGAGUUAAUACCUCGGGAGGAUGACGGUACCUGAAGAAUAAGCACCGGCUAACUACGUGCCAGCAGCCGCGGUAAUACGUAGGGUGCAAGCGUUAAUCGGAAUUACUGGGCGUAAAGCGUGCGCAGGCGGUUUUGUAAGACAGAGGUGAAAUCCCCGGGCUCAACCUGGGAACUGCCUUUGUGACUGCAAGGCUUGAGUGCGGCANAGGGGGAUGGAAUUCCGCGUGUAGCAGUGAAAUGCGUAGAUAUGCGGAGGAACACC